rnacentral:lncRNA from 1 species
UUUUCUAUAAAAUAUUUUACAUGUAAAAACGGAACUCAAGUACCAACUAGAUCCGAAAAAACAUUCAACUACCAAGUGCUUUUAAACAAAUUUAGAGAACAAACUACAUGUUAAUCCUAGAAAAAAAGACAGUUCAAUAUAAGCAAAAAUAAAAAUAAAAAAAUUCUCGUGAUUAAAAAUUAUCGGUUAAAGCAAAGGCCUGUUUAGGCUGAAGCAAAGGCAUGUUUACAGGCUGUCACCAUGGCGGAAGAAAUGGGUUUUCGCGAAAUAUGUGUUGAAGGAGAUGCGUUGACGGUCAUCAGAAAACUAACCCUUGCAACAGAAGACAGAUCAAGUAUUAGAAGCAUUAUUCAUGCAAUCAAGAAGAAAUCGUACAGAUUUAGCAGCAUACAGUUUCAAUAUGUACCAAGAGAAGCAAAUACGGUGGCGCAUGAAAUGGUGAUGGAAGGAAAGAAGUUCGAUGGUCCUCAAUACUGGAUGGAGAAGGUACAGUGCGCAGUGCAAGACUUGGUGAAUCGUGAAAGAAUCAGCACAAAUGGUGGACAAAAUGUUAGCGAUGAGUCCGGAUGCAACAAUGGCGGAUAGAUCCGAUGAACUCAAAAAUAGGGAGACUGGAAUCGGAAAAGUCAGAAGAUGCUAAUUCAUAGAAGAAGAGUCUCUUAUGCGACUGAUGCACAUAGAAGUCUGGGUAUAGAGAAAUGAAAAUGAGAUUUCAAAAUAGUGGUUUGUCUCUGUGUCGGUUUAAGGUCUUUACCAUGCUUUCAUUUGUUUUGUUUUUAAGUCUUUUUCUGCUUUAUCUUCCCAAUGCACCGAUUGGGGUGUUGGCAUUUAUUAGGUUCUUAACUAUUUCUAUUUUCAUUUUCUCAAUGCACCGGUUACGGUGCUUGGCAGAGUAGGUUAGCUAUAAAAUAUUAAUGCUUGCGUCUGAUUUUAGUUUUAUCCCAGUAAUAAAGGCAUCGGUUGAGGUUUUUUUUUUUUAAAAAAAAAUUAUUAUUAUCUCAUGUAUUGAGAUAUUUA